GACGAACGCUGGCGGCGUGCUUAACACAUGCAAGUCGUACGGUAAGGCCCUUUCGGGGGUACACGAGUGGCGAACGGGUGAGUAACACGUGAGUAACCUGCCCACAACUUUGGGAUAACGCUAGGAAACUGGUGCUAAUACUGGAUAUGUGCUCCUGCUGCAUGGUGGGGGUUGGAAAGCUCCGGCGGUUGUGGAUGGACUCGCGGCCUAUCAGCUUGUUGGUGGGGUAGUGGCCUACCAAGGCGGCGACGGGUAGCCGGCCUGAGAGGGUGACCGGCCACGUAGGGACUAGGACACAGCCCAGACUAGCACGGGAGGCAGCCGCGGGGAAGAGUGCACCAUGGGCGGAAGCCUAAUGCAGCAACACCGCGUGCGGGAGGACGGCCUUCGGGUUGGAAAGCGCUUGCAGCAGGGACGAAGCUGUUUGCGACGGUACCUACAGAAGAAAGACCGGCUCACUACGUG
rnacentral:rRNA from 1 species